rnacentral:tRNA from 1 species
GGGGGCGUAGCUCAGUUGGGAGAGCGCCUGCUUUGCACGCAGGGGGUCGUCGGUUCGAAUCCGGUCGCCUCCACCC